rnacentral:rRNA from 1 species
AGAUUGAACGCUGGCGGCAUGCCUUACACAUGCAAGUCGAACGGCAGCACGGGUGCUUGCACCUGGUGGCGAGUGGCGAACGGGUGAGUAAUGUAUCGGAACGUACCCUAGAGUGGGGGAUAACGCAGCGAAAGUUGCGCUAAUACCGCAUACGAUCUACGGAUGAAAGUGGGGGAUCGCAAGACCUCAUGCUCAUGGAGCGGCCGAUAUCUGAUUAGCUAGUUGGUGGGUAAAGCCUACCAAGGCAUCGAUCAGUAGCUGGUCUGAGAGGACGACCAGCCACACUGGAACUGAGACACGGUCCAGACCUCCGUACGGGAGGCAGCAGGUGGGGAAUUUUGGGAACAAGUGGGGCGCGAAGCCUAGAUCCAAGGCAAUGACCCGCGUGAGUAGAAGAAGGUCCGUUCGGGUUAGUAAAGUCUUCUUUUGGUACGAGGGAAA